UUUCUCCUAGUCUAUCAUAAACUCCCAAACUAAGCCUAAGACUGAGAGAGAAUAGAAGGGUUUGCGGUGUUUUCUGGAAAAACUGAUAUGCUCGGAGAUUAUUGUUGACGAAGAAGAAGAAAGGUCGAAGAAGGCUUGAAAGUCUAGGGCUUGUAGCGGGGAAAAUUGAUAGGCAUGUGGAUUCCUAAAGCGCCUGAUAAUUUUUUCCCCGAAUUUGGGAAAAAAUUAAUAUCAUGAUGCUUUAAUUAUAUAUAGUUUUCAAUCUGAAUCUAUCAAUUUUUGCUGCUCGCCCCCUGAUUUCUCCUUCUCCCUCUCUCUUUCUCUCUCUCUCUCUCACACACACACACUCUCUCUCUAUAUAUAUGGGUCUCUGUUGGUAAUUGGUUUUUCCAUCGCUGCCCGCCGGACCUGGUGAUGAGAUCUUCUCUGAAGUUCGAUUUUUUGGUUUGUUUUGGUGGCUGCAGAGCAGCCGCAGAAUAAUGGGAGAGACAAAGGAGAACGAUGCCGACGAAGAGUAGCUUCUCGACAAUGAGGAAGAUGGCGAAAAAGCCCCCGACUCCGUCAUCGCUAAAGUCAACGGCGAGUCCGUUAAAAAAGGCUACGUUGGUAUCGACAGCUCCGGAUUCCGAGACUUGCUACUGAAGCCACAGCUUCUGCGUGCUAUUGUGGAUUCUGGGUUUGAGCAAUCCUUCCGAAGGCAAGUUACAACCAUCUCUUUGGGUGUUUGGAAUCUUCUACAUCAUCAUAAUGCAGAGAUUCGUCGUCCCUAUGGUUGAACUAAUUUCAAUGGAAAAUAAUUUAAAGCCCAAUCUAAUAACCAAAGGGGCUUAUCAACAGGAGUGGUUUCUAUUGAGUCCUAACUAUUUAGCCUAGUAACAACCACAAGAUAAAGGUUACGACCCAAGAGCCUCAAUAGCUAGCGAAAACUUUUGGGCCUAGUCUAAUAUGGAGGACGGAGAUAAGCCUAUUAAGUGGCCCACUAUCCUACUAGUCCAUCAAAAAGCUACUUCAUGUCCAAAAUUCCAAGCAGCCCACCUCUAAGAGCAAAUAAAUUUAAAUCCAAAUGGUGAAUUAGCAAAGCCCUAAAUAUGUAUAUUGCCGUUUUAAGCCAUUGUUAAGACUUUGAGAGAGAAUAGGAGAGUUUGCAGCGUUUUCUGGAAAAACUGAUAUGGUCGGUGAUUAUCGUUGAUGGAGAAGGAAGGUUGAAGAAGGCCUGAAAGUUUAGGGCUUGUAGCGGGGAAAAUUGAUAGGCAUGUGGAUUCCUAAAGCGCUUGAUGAUUUUUUUCCAGAAUUUGGAAAAAAUUAAUAUAAUGAUGCUUUAAAUA